CACACACACACACACACACACACAUAGUGGAAGUGAAUGCAGUGUGUUGCUAUCAGAUUCUCCCUCGUGCUCUGCGUCCUCAUCGUGUUACAGGGCGUGGCUUGGUCUGGUUCGUCACUCGUCUUAUAUGCAAUCUAGGGAGGACCGUCCCCUGAGUAAUGGGUCUGGUCCUGGCUUUCCCUGAAGUGUGUACAGUUUAAGACUCUGGGAAACGUGUGGACUAAUAUUAUUGUUUAUUAUUUCGUCUUAAGAUGACUUUCUUUCUUUCCAUUCCGUGUCUGCGUAUGCUUAUUUAUAUUUUUGACGUUAUUUAUUAGUUUAUUUUUUUUGCAUAUUGACUUUUUUCUUCGUCUGCUUGUUAAAUGCUAGCGUUUGUUGUUAUUAUUAUUUUUUCCCUCGAUAUUAUGUUAUUCUCUGUUCAUCAUUUUGUUUUCAAUGUAUUGUCCUUACGUGUCAGUGUGUUUGGUGCCUGCGUGUACUUUUGGUUUUCACGACGUCGUCAUAUCUUCGGUAUUUAACGUAUUUUCUUCGUUUUUCAACGUUGUGGCGGGCGUAAUUCUCCAUCCUAUUAUUGCAUACGUUUUGUAUUAUGCACUAAAAUUUUUUGUUUUAUUUUAUUUUUUUUUUAGUGUGUGCCGUGUGAUUAACUUUAUGCUCCUACGAUUUGUCUGUAAACACCGACACCCUAUAUUUAUUUUUGUAUUAUUUUCAUUGCUCCCUUUUUACUGUCCAUUGAGAGGCAUCGUUAUGUUUCCCCAUUUUUACAGUCAGCGUUGCACCUGGUCCUCCCUCCCCUCUCCUCCCGCACUCCUCCCGCUCCCUGGGGCUGCUGCUCCGCCUACAUUGAUUCAAAGUUCCCCGGUCUGAGAAAAUUGAAACGGAAAUGUGGGGAUGAGUUUGUAUCUGCAGAGUAUGAGCUUUUCACUUUUGUGUGGCUGAAGAAUUGCGCUUCUUGUCGGCUGGUAAAACUUUGGAGGCUGUCUAAAACUUGUGCGUCUGUGAGGGGAUUGCUAGAUGAUGUUCGCACGCGGCUCGUGAUCUUAACGUAUUGCCGAGCCGAGAAGUUGUUCGUGUAUAAUGCAUACUUUAAAAUAUGAACGACGAAUUAUGUAGUGUAAUUCCUAACGUUGUGCAGUGUGUGUACGCAUAUCAGCCUUUCCUCCUGCAUUUUAACCACGACGAUGGAAGAAAAAUCAGAAAAUGAAGUAAGUCUAUAUUGCGACGACUGAAUGACUGAAUGUAGUGCAUCUGUAAUGACUAAAGGAAGUAUGAAACAAGGAAAAUUAUGCUUGAGUUACGAAAGGAUAUCAUGACCGUUGUGGAAAAUAAAGGCUCGAGACAUCCGUAUCUUCUCGAACCUCGCAGCAGAAAGCAUAAUAAUUACUGCAAAUAACAUAUAAUAAGUUAUUAGUAUCAAAUAACACAUACGUACAGGUGGUAUUAGUGUUAGGGUAUUAAGGAUUAUGAUGAAUAAAUCAACUGCCGUGCCGCAUACCAAAUGAAGCAUCAGCACUGAAAUAAGUGUCGAGAUGAACUUGAGGGGCAUCAAUGUGCGCCUGUGCAGACUCUCGGACGACAAGAAGCUUCGAGGAGACACGGAUACACGAUUACUGCCAUUCAUAUAGUGAUGCUGAUCUUGAUAGUACAGCUCUGGCCAGUGACAUAGAAACUGUGGGAAUACGAUCGCUGUGAGGAGACAUAACCGAAGAACAAGUGAGUGUGGAAAAAUACGAGAUACUAAUGGACAUUUUUAGUUGUGAUCACCGCUGUUUCUUGUCUUACAGUGGAUAUUCACAAGGAAUGGCGACACGGCGAUGCACACGGCGAGGCAUCCGUCGUGGCCAUGCUGAGAGUCGUGUUGUCGUCGUCCUCCCCCUCACACAUAAACCAGCGCGGGGUGUCGGCUGAGUCCCGUCUGAGUGGCAUCAGUCCGGGGGUCAGCGGCAGCGCGUGGGUCAUGAGUGAGGCUAAGGCAGGAAAGGCUGACUGUGACGAGGAGACGCGAUCACCUACGGGUCCUUAAAACUUGUCCGAAGAUCGCCUUUGUUGGGUACGACGGGAGGUGGAAGAGGAGGAGGAAGAGGAAGAGGAGGAAGUGGAGGAAGAGGAAGAGGAACUAGGGGAGGAAGAGGAAGAGGAAGAGGAACAAGGGGAGGAAGAGGAAGAGGAGUAGCAGCGGUGUAGUGUUUAUACACACACACACACACACACACACACACACACACACACACGCUACUACUACUACUACUACUACUACUACUACCACCACCAGUGCCAUCGCUUCACCGAGAGGCUAAGAGAGGCGGCUUUUAUGUGUUGUUAUGGCGCUGUAUAAUUUGGUUGUGGUUCUGGUGGGCUCGUGAUGGCAUCGCGGAUGGGUUGUGAUGGUGGUGAAGUGGUGAUGGUGUAGGGACGGUGCUGCCAUCUGUUAGUUGAAGUAGUAAACCUCGUAACCUUUCAGUCCUCAGCGUAAUUUUGUGGGUACCGGUAGAAAAUUUUAUUAAGUUUAGGAUUAUGUACAUUUUUCAUACGCUUUUCUAUGUAUCACUUAACGAAUUAAAAGCCUUAUCUCAUUUUCCAUCCACUGCAGGUAGAUUUAUUUACUCUCUUGAAAUUCUUACGUCAUAGGCGAAUUUAUAAAGACCGAAUGUUGCCUGUACUAUUGAUCGGGUUCGUUGUUAUUGAGAUGAUAGCGUUCCCUCAACACAUCUCCCAUCUUUCACCCUUGUUUACUCCUGUCCUGCUCACCACUCCUUCCUUCUACUCCAUCUGAGCUACAAGUCCUCUUCCCUUCUGUCCCUUCCACCCUAUGCUGCCAACGCCACCCCUACUCCUCUCCUGCUCUUCCUUGUUCGCUCUACCCCUGCCCGCCACCCCUUAAAGCAUCCCCUUGCGUAAUAUGAUUAAAAAGUGUGUACUUCAAA